rnacentral:rRNA from 1 species
CAGCAGCCGCGGUAAUACAGAGGGUGCGAGCGUUAAUCGGAUUUACUGGGCGUAAAGCGUGCGUAGGCGGCUAAUUGAGUCGGAUGUGAAAUCCCCGAGCUUAACUUGGGAAUUGCAUUCGAUACUGGUUAGCUAGAGUGUGGGAGAGGAUGGUAGAAUUCCAGGUGUAGCGGUGAAAUGCGUAGAGAUCUGGAGGAAUACCGAUGGCGAAGGCAGCCAUCUGGCCUAAUACUGACGCUGAGGUACGAAAGCAUGGGGAGCAAACAGGAUUAGAUACCCCCGUAGUCCCUGUCUCUUAUAC